rnacentral:misc_RNA from 1 species
AGGUUGUGUUGAAUUAACCUGGCAUCUAUCAGCACCAUCUCGUCUAACAUGACUUCCUUAACUAUUCGAAAGGCGUGUAUUUGAUUUGUCAACCUUCACAUAUCCUUAUUAUUUAUCUAAUUUUAUAAUUCAUCAGUAAUAGGUGGACCUUGGGAUCAUUGUAGCUCUGGCGAUUUUCUGGUCAAUGAAUUCCAGGACUCCAGUUUCAUCUUCUGAAGCACUAAUAAACGUACCCUUGUUCAGGUCCC